CAAAGCAAUUUUACAACAGACUUGUUGAAUUCAUUAUCUGAAGCUUUUAAAACGCGAGCUGCAUCCAUAAAGGCACAGAUUGAACCUCCUUACAGAUUGGCGUUCCCUUCUUCUUUUGUCUUCUUGAAUGUUGUGAGCUUCAGGCAAGGAUCAGUCAUCAACACGAUGGAACUUCGGUUUGUAAACACAUCUGUUCCAAACAAAGCUGAGAUUAGAAAUGUUUUGAACAGUACAGCCUCAAACGUUACAGGCUUUGACAUUGAAAGGGAUUCCAUCCUUGUCAAUG